GAGGGUGUAGUUCAGUGGUAGAGUGUGUGCUUAGCAUGCACGAGAUCCUGGGUUCAUUCCCCAGUACCUCCG
rnacentral:tRNA from 1 species